UACGAAGGGGGCUAGCGUUGUUCGGAAUUACUGGGCGUAAAGGGCGCGUAGGCGGCCAGCACAAGUCAGUUGUGAAAUCUCCGAGCUUAACUCGGAAAGGUCAACUGAUACUGUGCGGCUAGAGUGCAGAAGGGGCAACUGGAAUUCUUGGUGUAGCGGUGAAAUGCGUAGAUAUCAAGAGGAACACCUGCGGCGAAGGCGGGUUGCUGGGCUGACACUGACGCUGAAGCGCGAAAGCCAGGGGAGCGAACGGG
rnacentral:rRNA from 1 species